rnacentral:rRNA from 1 species
AUUGAACGCUGGCGGCAGGCCUAACACAUGCAAGUCGAGCGGAUGAAGGGAGCUUGCUCCCGGAUUCAGCGGCGGACGGGUGAGUAAUGCCUAUGAAUCUGCCUGGUAGUGGGGGAUAACGUCCGGAAACGGGCGCUAAUACCGCAUACGUCCUGAGGGAGAAAGUGGGGGAUCUUCGGACCUCACGCUAUCAGAUGAGCCUAGGUCGGAUUAGCUAGUUGGUGGGGUAAAGGCCUACCAAGGCGACGAUCCGUAACUGGUCUGAGAGGAUGAUCAGUCACACUGGAACUGAGACACGGUCCAGACUCCUACGGGAGGCAGCAGUGGGGAAUAUUGGACAAUGGGCGAAAGCCUGAUCCAGCCAUGCCGCGUGUGUGAAGAAGGUCUUCGGAUUGUAAAGCACUUUAAGUUGGGAGGAAGGGCAGUAAGUUAAUACCUUGCUGUUUUGACGUUACCAACAGAAUAAGCACCGGCUAACUUCGUG